CGGAGUAGGAAGCACCUGGACAAAUCGGGAGAGGGGAGGGGAGGGCCGGAGUGCAGACGGACAACAGGAGAAGAAGGCAGCUGGAACAUCUGACUGCUGGCGGAGAGCAAGCGACGACCCUGCGCCCAGGAAGCAGUCAGCCUGGCCCGGCAAGGAGAGGGCAGCAGCAGCGGGCAGCCAUUCGACAUGGGGCACCCCUUUCUCCACGAGGCCUGGGCCACGCUGAGCCCAUCCCUCCCCGGGUCUUUGUCCUCUACCUGGCGCUGGCCGGCACCUGCGUGGUUCUCCUGAUGCUGCCCCUGGAGGGUCAGCCCAGCCCGUGGGUGCCCCCUGCCCUCCACGUCACCCUCCCUCAGAAGCUGGUGGCUGCUUAUGUCCUCGGCCUCUUAACCAUGGCAUUCCUGCGAUCGUGACCCCCUGGGGGAAGGUGACAGCUUGACCAGUAGGGCCAUGAAUCCUGUUCUCUCCCCUUCCAUCGCCCCUACCAAUGGGAUCUGUGCCCACCUAUCCACCAUGGCUGCAGAACAAAGGAGAGCACCCUAUAUCCCACCAGGGUCAUCCACCCUUCCUCCGAGUGCGAAUUCUGGCAGGGUUUUUUGCAAGCCCGGGUUAUUCUUUCUCCCCGCUGGCUGGGUCUGGAAAGUGGAGAGACAUCAGGGAAUGGGUCGGGGGGUGCAGGAGAUUUUGGGGGCGUGGGAGCUCAGGCCAGCAACGCCUUUUUGACAUGUUGAAAUAAAAGUGAGCCACGCAGAGGCGGUGAUGGGAA